AGUGAACGCUGGCGGUAGGCCUAACACAUGCAAGUCGAACGGCAGCACAGUAAUAGCUUGCUCUUACGGGUGGCGAGUGGCGGACGGGUGAGGAAUACAUCGGAAUCUACUUUUUCGUGGGGGAUAACGUAGGGAAACUUACGCUAAUACCGCAUACGACCUACGGGUGAAAGCAGGGGAUCUUCGGACCUUGCGCGAUUGAAUGCGCCGAUGUCGGAUUAGCUAGUUGGCGGGGUAAAGGCCCACCAAGGCGACGAUCCGUAGCUGGUCUGAGAGGAUGAUCAGCCACACUGGAACUAAGACACGGUCCAGACUCCUAAGGGAGGCAGCAGUGGGGAAUAUUGGACAAUGGGCGCAAGCCUGAUCCAGCCAUACCGCGUGGGUGAAGAAGGCCUUCGGGUUGUAAAGCCCUUUUGUUGGGAAAGAAAAGCAGCAGGUUAAUACCCCGCUGUUCUGACGGUACCCAAAGAAUAAGCACCGGCUAACUUCGUG
rnacentral:rRNA from 1 species